rnacentral:rRNA from 1 species
CCUACGGGAGGCAGCAGUGGGGAAUAUUGGACAAUGGGGGAAACCCUGAUCCAGCGACGCCGCGUGGGUGAAGAAGUAUUUCGGUACGUAAAGCUCUAUCAGCAGGAAAGAAAAUGACGGUACCUGACUAAGAAGCCCCGGCUAACUACGUGCCAGCAGCCGCGGGAAUACGUAGGGGGCAAGCGUUAUCCGGAUUUACUGGGUGUAAAGGGAGCGUAGACGGCAGCGCAAGUCUGGAGUGAAAUGCCGGGGCACAACCCCGGAACUGCUCUGGAAACUGGGAAGCUGGAGUGCAGGAGAGGUAAGCGGAAUUCCUGGUGUAGCGGUGAAAUGCGUAGAUAUCAGGAGGAACACCGGCGGCGAAGGCGGCUUACUGGACUGUAACUGACGUUGAGGCUCGAAGGCGUGGGGAGCAAACAGGAUUAGAUACCCUUGUAGUC